ACGAACGCUGGCGGCGUGCUUAACACAUGCCAGUCGAACGGAAAGGCCCUGCUUUUGUGGGGUGCUCGAGUGGCGAACGGGUGAGUAACACGUGAGUAACCUGCCCUUGACUUUGGGAUAACUUCAGGAAACUGGGGCUAAUACCGGAUAGGAGCUCCUGCUGCAUGGUGGGGGUUGGAAAGUUUCGGCGGGUGGGGAUGGACUCGCCGCUUAUCAGCUUGUUGGUGGGGUAGUGGCUUACCAAGGCUUUGACGGGUAGCCGGCCUGAGAGGGGGACCGGCCCAAUUGGGACUGGACUGCGACCCAGACUCCUACGGGAGGCAGCAGUGGAGAAUAUUGCACAAUGGGCGGAAGCCUGAUGCAGCAACGCCGCGUGCGGGAUGACGGCCUUCGGGUUGUAAACCACUUUCGCCUGUGACGAAGCGUGAGUGACGGUAAUGGGUAAAGAAGCACCGGCUAACUACGUG
rnacentral:rRNA from 1 species